rnacentral:rRNA from 1 species
UACGGAGGUGGCAAGCGUUGCUCGGAAUCACUGGGCGUAAAGGGCGCGUAGGCGGGGAGGUAAGUCGGGUGUGAAAUCCCUCGGCCCAACCGAGGAACUGCGCCCGAGACUGCUUCUCUUGAGUCCCGGAGAGGAAGAUGGAAUUCCCGGUGUAGCGGUGAAAUGUGUAGAGAUCGGGAGGAACACCGGUGGCGAAGGCGGUCUUCUGGACCAGCACUGACACUGAGGCACGAAAGCGUGGGGAGCAAACAGG